UGGGGAAUAUUGGACAAUGGGCGCAAGCCUGAUCCAGCCAUGCCGCGUGAGUGAUGAAGGCCCUAGGGUUGUAAAGCUCUUUCACCGGUGAAGAUAAUGACGGUAACCGGAGAAGAAGCCCCGGCUAACAUCGUGCCAGCAGCCGCGGUAAUACGAAGGGGGCUAGCGUUGUUCGGAUUUACUGGGCGUAAAGCGCACGUAGGCGGACUAUUAAGUCAGGGGUGAAAUCCCGGGGCUCAACCCCGGAACUGCCUUUGAUACUGGUAGUCUUGAGUUCGAGAGAGGUGAGUGGAAUUCCGAGUGUAGAGGUGAAAUUCGUAGAUAUUCGGAGGAACACCAGUGGCGAAGGCGGCUCACUGGCUCGAUACUGACGCUGAGGUGCGAAAGCGUGGGGAGCAAACAGG
rnacentral:rRNA from 1 species